GAUGAACGCUAGCGGGAGGCUUAACACAUGCAAGUCGAGGGGCAGCAUAGGGUAGCAAUACUCUGAUGGCGACCGGCAAACGGGUGAGUAACGCGUAUGCAACCUACCCUGUACAGGGGGAUAACCCGGAGAAAUUCGGACUAAUAUCCCGUAAUAAUAUCCGGAGGCAUCUUUGGAUACUUUAAAGUUCCGACGGUACGGGAUAGGGCAUGCGUAACAUUAGCUGGUUGGUAAGGUAACGGCUUACCAAGGCUAUGAUGUUUAGGGUCCUGAGAGGUGGUCCCCCACACUGGUACUGAGACACGGGACCAGACUCCUACGGGAGGCAGCAGUGAGGAAUAUUGGUCAAUGGGCGCAAGCCUGAACCAGCCAUCCCGCGUUGCAGGAAGACGGCCCUAUAGGUUGUAAACUGCUUUUCCAGGGAGAGAAACUUACGCACGUGUUGCGUGACUGACGGUACCCUGGGAAUAAGCAUCGGCUAACUCCGUG
rnacentral:rRNA from 1 species